AGGACGAACGCUGGCGGCGUGCUUAACACAUGCAAGUCGAGCGGAAAGGCCCUUCGGGGUACUCGAGCGGCGAACGGGUGAGUAACACGUGAGCAAUCUGCCCUUAGCUUCGGGAUAGCCCCGGGAAACCGGGAUUAAUACCGAAUAUGACCUUGGCCGACAUCGGCCUUGGUGGAAAGUUUUUCGGCUAGGGAUGAACUCGCGGCCUAUCAGCUUGUUGGUGGGGUAAUGGCCUACCAAGGCGACGACGGGUAGCCGGCCUGAGAGGGCGACCGGCCACACUGGGACUGAGACACGGCCCAGACUCCUACGGGAGGCAGCAGUGGGGAAUAUUGCGCAAUGGGCGAAAGCCUGACGCAGCGACGCCGCGUGGGGGAUGAAGGCCUUCGGGUUGUAACCCCUUUCAGCAGGGACGAAGCGAGAGUGACGGUACCUGCAGAAGAAGCGCCGGCUAACUACGUGCCAGCAGCCGC
rnacentral:rRNA from 1 species